GGGCUUCUACGAAGUGCGUGAUUGUAUUAUUGAUUUUUUACCAACGUUAUGACACCGGGGGCCAGGUAUAGUUCUGGCACGUGCAUGCCCCGCAAUGUCGGGGACGCUAACGCCAGUGCUCAGGUCACCCACCUGUUGAAAAACAGGUCUAAAAGUCAGUAAUGCACACGGCCGAGCGGUUGCCCU
rnacentral:other from 1 species